UACAGAGGUCUCAAGCGUUGUUCGGAUUCAUUGGGCGUAAAGGGUGCGUAGGCGGCGCGGUAAGUCGGGUGUGAAAUCUCGGAGCUUAACUCCGAAACUGCAUUCGAUACUGCCGUGCUUGAGGACUGGAGAGGAGACUGGAAUUUACGGUGUAGCGGUGAAAUGCGUAGAUAUCGUAAGGAAGACCAGUGGCGAAGGCGGGGUCUCUGGACAGUUCCUGACGCUGAGGAGCGAAAAGCGUGGGGAGCGAACAGG
rnacentral:rRNA from 1 species